CCAAGUAGAGAGCUGGUGCAUACGAGCAGAGUUGGGCUUUGGUCUUCAGGUUCACACUUUUCUUUAGAAGGAAGACAGUGUGUGUUGCAUCGUGUUAUUUCACAUGUCUAAGACCCCCAUGGAAAUCACAUAAAGGCCUAUUGGAAUCUGCUGGACUGAAAGGGAGCAGCAAAAGGAUCAUUCUAUCUCUAUUCUGACUGUGAAUUCAUUCUGCCCUAAGUUAGAGGAAGCCAAACAGUGUAAACCUGGACAAUUACAUGAUUAAUUAAACCUCCAGAACUCAGUUUGCUCUAGCAAAAAGAUCUCAGAAUUAGGAAGUUCUACUUGGAGAGACCGCUGGGAAUACAACCAUCACAUGAAUCUCAACACCUUUACCCAGUAUCUGCAUAACUGAACCCCAUGAGCCCUGUUUGGAGCCCAUAGCCAACAAGAUGCCGCUGUGGGGAAGCAAAGAGGCUCCGCGUUGCUUUUGACAUCAGACGCCCUCUGAAGCUGUUCCAGCAGGCUGAAGGAGCCACUGAGGCUGAUCCGUAUCAUUCUUCAGGCAGCUCCAUCGGACAGCUCUCUGGAGAGAUGGCAAAAGAUCUGUAUCUGCAUGCUUCAUAGGGAUAAAUUGUUAGCCUCGGUAUGAGCAACAAUAGAGGCUUUGAGGAUCCUGAUGACCAACUGCGCCGAAGCAUUCCUUCCCGCACACUUACCUUCAUUAUAUCCUCACUAAUCACCCCUCUGCCUUUCAGCAGUGAAAUGUUAUCACCCUUCAGCAAGGCAUCAAACCAGAACUGCAGAGGGAUUGCUAACACUGACCUGCCCUUCUCAUCAACAUGAAAAAAAAGAGAAAGCCUCUUCGGGACUGUGUUGCACUGCUGGGAAAGGAUGGAGGGCAGACGUUUGCAGACAGCAAAGGCCAGACAAAACAUCUUCAAGGAUGAAUGUGAGACUUUGAUGUGUCUAUUGGCGGCUGCUAUUGUCUAUUCCUACUCUGAGAGGCGGGUUGGGCUGAAGAUCUCCAGAGAUCACUUCCAAACAGCACAUCCAUACGAAGGAGAAGAAACAGGAAAGAGAAACUUGUUCCUGGUGCCAUAAGGAUGAAAAAUUGGGAGCAAGGGAGAGCAAGAAAAAAAGAGAUUGAUAUUUUGCUUCCAAAUCAACACCUGGAGGGGAGCAAGGCACCCUGGAAACGGUGGGACACAUGCUAUGGGAAGAAGAAAAUAAAGAGGAGGGGAAGAUGUGGAUCCAGGAUUCAUCACAUCAGUUGUAAACCUGGUAUAGAGGCUUGUAGGAAUAUUACACAGAGGAAUUUGGCCUCUGAUAUAAACCUAGCAGAGGACAACCUUGCGAAUGUGAUCCAAAUACUUCUUCCUCUUCUUGAAACCUAGGCACUGAGGCCUACGUGGCUGACAUGGAGGGCCAAGCUGGAGGGGAAGCAGAUGACCUAGGCAUUAAUCCCACUAGAAAACCAAACGACAUGUGAGAGGAAUUUCUUGUCUGAGAAAAUCUUCAGAAAUCUGGCUGAACACUCUUUUCUCUCACUAUUCACCUGGCUUUGAGGGAUAACAAGGACUUAGCCAGGAGUCAGCCACAGCUACAACAAAACUGAGUUAGUCAUCUGCAUGUUACCAACCACGUGCUCAGAAAUGGCCGUCCUACAAAAACAAGUUCUUCGAGACCUGCACCACUCCUUCCUUUAGUUUGGUUUCAAACUAAAACAGGGGAGAUUUAGACUGGAAAUAAGAAGAAGAUUUUUUGUUUUUUGUUUUUUGUUUGUUUGUUUGUUUGUUUGUUUAUGAUAAGG
ensembl:lncRNA